ACUCACUGCUUGUUGCAACUGAGCAAAAUCCCAUUGUAGCUCCUAUCUCAAUAAGUGAGUGUCACCAUCAAGGUGUCAUUCACUAUAUGUUCGAUGGUGACCGGGAGCCGGACUACAGCUCUUCAGCCAUGGCCUCCGUGUUUUCUGGGUGAAGUGUUCAGCUGGGUGCUGCUCGUUCCCGAGCACCGAAGCAGUGACAAGGCGGAAUCUUCGCCAAAGAUAGGACCUAUACUGGGAUUUUUCUCAAUUGCAACAAAAAGUGAAUGUUUCAUUAUUAUUUAUUUAUUUAUUUUUGCUUUAAACCCACUAAGGUCCUAAGCUAAGCUAAGCUAAGCUAAUUGGUUACUGCCACAAUGGUGCUGCAUCUGCUAGUGAGCAUGGGUGGCCACGGAUGACGUGUGCUCACUCUUCUUCACUCCCAUUGAUAGUCGCUGCACCAAGUCGCUCCAAAUUUGCAUAAAGUUAAACUUUUGUCAACUUUGCCGCGUCGCUGGACAUGCCCACAUUUGGUCGCCAAUGGUCGCUGUCGCACAUGUCGCCGGAUCUCAUUGGAAAUGAACGGUCUCCAGUCGCAUUGUUGCUGUGAGUCACUCAAUGUGUGAACAUACUUUAAGGCUGACGCUGAUGGAGUCGUUACUGAACUGCAUCUUGAAGGUUUCAACCCAAUUCCAGCUACAGCAGAAAAGUUAGCACACAGUAUCAGAUGGAACUGCGGCCCUGUAUGAUGACCCCUGUAAAGCGAGUGGCUCUCAAAGCGUCGACCUGAAACCACUGUUUCUUGUCUUCAUGUAGUGCACACCAAGCUCCAUCAUAAAUGUCUCCAUCCUCAAUACCAGACUACACACACAAACCAGGAGACAUUAUUUAGUGAGAAAGUAUGCACAGGAGCUGUCUAUUCUGGAAUUUUCCUCCAGAAGAACACAGCAGAUCUGUGUUGACUUUGAUGCUUGGACCCCUAAAUAUAGUGGCAAGAAAAAUCGGCCACGGUGGGGUCCGAGACCACAGCGUUUAUAUGACGAGGCCUGCAACUGGGCAUCUUUAACUCUCAAACUCUCCAAACCCAGUGGAGGGCAGCCUGAGAAAACACACACACAUACACAUAGGAUGUGCUACAAACACGGCUUUAAUAUACAGAACAGGAAAUGGAAUGGAUGGAAAACAGACAGCGUGUUGAUGAAUGAUCGAGAGAAGAAUUGGAAAAAUGUGAACUCAUUGGGAGCCAGUGUUUGUUCAACAACUCAUGUAUUGCAGCAAUGAAGAACAGAAGCACAGAAAGGCAUCAACAAAAGAGACAGAGAGAGAAUGGAGACCAAUGGAGAUGGAUGAAAAAUAACCACAAAUGACCCAUCCAAAGGAGAAUAUGAGCUUCUGUGAUCCUUGGCAGAGAGGUGGAGAGGUUCGGCUUGAUCUUCUCCUCCAGAUCUUCGGUGCCGAAGUGGACCUUCGUGGGCUUUGGGCUGGUGGAGAAGAUCCUCGCAGGAGGUUUUGUAGGAGUGACUUUUCUCUCAUUGCUCCUUGUUCUGUGUCUGAUCAGCACAGUGGGUCCAGGCAGAGAUGCCAUUUGAUUUAUAGGAGUUGUAGGUGAUCUGUUAAUGCCACACAGAAUGAUUUCAGCUCCCGUGAGCAAACUUAAGCAACAUAACAUAAAUGACUGAUGCCAUGAUGAAACCAUGUCUGCACUGUUUGGCUUCCAGACCCAGAGUGCGAAACUUCUGCUAAUGUCACAGAAAACCACAUUUCUUGGAGUAGAGGGUCUGCAGAAUGCACAGUUAGUGAAAAAAAGUGAAAAAACAAACAAACCAUGCAUCACAUGCACAGUUAUUUCCUUUAAUGAGAAAUCCACUUGUGUGAGAAGAUUUUUCCAAGCCAUGUCAUUUAUCUUACAUCUACACAAAAAUGAUAUUUUUACCCUAUUAGUGUAACAAAUUUGUUUAUGUUUAUCUGUAACUUAACAUUCAACAUACAACCCAUCAACACUCAUACCACAUUAAUAUGAUAUAAUGUAAUAUAACAAACUGAAUACUAAAUAUUAUUAUUUAUUAUGCAUUUAAGCUUUAUUAAGUUAUGUGCCAUAUAUGUUAUACCAGAGGUUCUCAACCUUUUGUAACUAAAGUCCCCCCAAGCUUCCCCUAUCAUUCCGCCCCCCUAUCAUUUUAUAUAGAAUGAUUAUCCAUUCUAUAUAAAAUCUGUCUAUAUAACCUAUAUAUAACCUAUUCUAUAAUCUGUUUUUGAUAGAUAGAUAGAUAGAUAGAUAGAUAGAUAGAUUUUUUUUGCUUUUGUGUUUUUGUACUUUUUAAAUUAAUUUUUUAUCACUUUUAUGAUUUUUAAAAUAUUUCAAAAAUAUUUCUGAACACUAUAACUACUUUGAACAAGAGAACUAGGCUGUAAUAACGUGGAUUAUUUUACAUGUAAAACAUGUUGCAUUACAUUCGUCUUGCGUUCUAAAACCAUUCUCAUAAGAAUGAUGUAAAUUGGGACGAAGGGCGCGCCUCGUUAUCCAAGUCAUUGUUAAAUCUCCGACUCUCAGUCCUUCACUGUACAGAGCAGUCGCAGAGAAAGGUGAAAGUGCAGCGGGAAAGCAAGACCUCGCUUGCAGGACAGAACUGGACACAUUUGGAAAGUUGCUAAGGUUUGUCCAAAAAGUCGUUAGAUUUGUCACUAGGCGCUUUUUUUCUUUCUUUUUUUUUCUUUUCAAAAACGUCUCUAAAGGGAUCUGAAAAGUCGCUAAAUUUGCAACACUGGUCUGCACUGGCAGCUAGAUAAAAGGGAAGGGGAACGCGGGGUUUGUCAUUUAUGCACAUUCUAUUUGAAAAGCAAUAAAAUACGCAGAUUACCCAAAUUAUGCCCUGUCUGUGUUUUUUUCUUGAAAACAAUUUGUGCCCCUCUUCCGAUCUCGCCCCUGGUUGAG